rnacentral:rRNA from 1 species
CCCUAUUAUUUUGGAACGUUAAUUUUGUUUGUCUGAGUAGUAUUAGUUAUGUUCUUGAAACUUAAAGAAUUUGGCGGUAUCUUAUUCCAUCCAGAGGAAUCUGUCUCGUUAUCGAUAGUCCACGUUGGACCUUACUUAGUUGCUUAGGUUUGUAUACCGCCGUUUAUUGAUUAUCUUUUUAGGGUUAUUUUAAUUUUCUGGUUUCUUUAUUUUGGUUUAUUUCAGGUCAAGGUGCAGCUUGUUUCUAAGUGUAUGAUGGAUUACAUUGUUAUAUGUUUUGAUUGGAUUGUUGACUUUAAUGUUGGCAUGAAAUUGGAUUUGGUUGUAAUGUUUUGUAGACUGUUUUCAUGAUAAUUGGUUCUGGGAUAUGUACACAUCGCCCGUCGCUCUCGUUUGUUUUAAUGAGAUAAGUC